rfam:Treponema primitia ZAS-2, complete genome.
GCCCGGAUGGUGGAAUUGGUAGACACGCUGGUUUCAGGUACCAGUGCCCUCACAGGUAUGGAAGUUCGAGUCUUCUUCCGGGCA